UACGGAGGGUGCGAGCGUUGUUCGGAAUCACUGGGCGUAAAGGGCGCGCAGGCGGUCUUAUAAGUCAGAUGUGAAAGCCCACGGCUUAACCGUGGAAGAGCAUUUGAAACUGCAAGACUUGAGUACCAGAGGGGAAGGUGGAAUUCCCGGUGUAGAGGUGAAAUUCGUAGAUAUCGGGAGGAAUACCGGUGGCGAAGGCGACCUUCUGGCUGGAUACUGACGCUGAGGCGCGAAAGCGUGGGGAGCAAACAGG
rnacentral:rRNA from 1 species